AGAUGCAGAAACUUUUGACAUAUGAAUUCAUCUUGACUAAGGAACUCUUCACAGCACUUCAUCUGAACAGUCACAACCUCACAGAGCUGCUCAACUGCCCCUCUCAGAUCAGUGUUGAAGCUGGAACCUCAUCUUGUGUACAGCAAAGGCAGAGCUGAAAAUUCACUGUUUGUCUUGUAUUGUGUGUGGCAAAACCUGGAAUAACACAUGGGAGCCCUCCAGGAAUUGCUGACACUUUACGCCCAAGUCUCCUCAUGCUAACCGGAUUGCAAUAUGACAGUCUAGUCAGCAUAAACACCUGGACUCGCCAAGCACACUUUGGUUCUUAGUGUUUUGUACAAAUUGUUUUUGCUAUUCUUCAGUAAAUACUUGAAUAUGUUUUGAACUUAUUCUACUUUUGAUGUUUAAGUUCAGAAAGUUGUUAUUAUAAACAUAAUUUGCAUUGGUCAUGAACUUGACUUCUUGUUGUUGUGAAAGCUGUUUAUUAUAAUGGCAUUUCCAAAGGCAUUAUUUGAAAAGAUUUUUUGCAGUGCAGUUUUACUUGAGCUUGACAUACCAGAUGUAUGACAUGAAUAAAUAUCACAAAAUAAAUAUAAUAAUGAUAAUACAAAAUAUAAAUUUCCUUCAAUUAUAAUUGUUUUUAAUCAUUUAUAUAUGUAUGGUAAUAUAUUAUUGCAUUAAAAACUGUUAUAAAUAUAUAUAUUUUUGGUUUUUGCAUGUUUGCGUGAUUUUUUUUUUUUGUGGCAUUAUAAAUAAAUUAUAAAUGUUUCAU
ensembl:processed_transcript